rnacentral:sRNA from 1 species
GCGGCUCCCUGGGCGUCCCUGCGCCUGGUGGCCCCCAUGUGGAAUGGGCGUAUCAGGGGCAUCCAUCGCCUGGGUGGGGCAGUGGCCCCAGAGGGCAAUCAGAAGAAGAAAAGGACAAUACUCCAGUUGCUGACCAACUAUUUCUACGAUGUGGAGGCUCUGAGGGAUUACUUGCUCCAAAGGGAGAUGUACAAGGUGCAUGAGAAAAAUCGAUCUUUCACCUGGCUGGAGAAGCAACAUGGUCCAUACGGCGCAGGUGCCUUUUUCAUCCUGAAGCAGGGAGGCGCAGUCAAGUUUCGAGACAAGGAGUGGAUCAGGCCAGAUAAGUAUGGCCAUUUCUCUCAGGAGUUCUGGAAUUUCUGUGUAGUGCCUGUUGAAGCUGUGGAUGCCAGUGACUGUGACAUCAACUACGAGGGCCUGGACAACCUCCGUGAGUGCGGUGGGGUGGAGAUGGGACAGGCCUCUAUGUUUUCCCUUUGGUGAAGGGCUCCAGAAAGGCUCCUGGUGCCAUCCCACCCUCUCCCCAC